AUGUCGAGCCGUGGUGGGAAGAAGAAAUCCACCAAGACCUCCCGGUCAGCUAAGGCAGGAGUCAUCUUUCCUGUGGGACAGAUGCUACGGUACAUCAAGAAAGGCCAUCCCAAGUACAGGAUUGGAGUAGGGGCACCGGUGUACAUGGCUGCUGUCUGGAAUACCUGACAGCGGAGAUACUGGAGCUGGCUGGCAACGCAGCAAGAGACAACAACAAGGGACGGGUCACGCCUGGGCACAUCCUGCUGGCUGUGGCCAAUGAUGAAGAGCUCAAUCAGCUGCUAAAAGGAGUCACCAUAGCCAGUGGGGGUGUGUUACCAAACAUCCACCCUGAGUUGCUAGCAAAGAAGCGAGGGUCCAAAGGAAAGUUGGAAGCCAUCAUCACACCACCCCCAGCCAAAAAGGCCAAGUCUCCAUCUCAGAAGAAGCCUGUGUCUAAGAAAGCAGGAGGAAAGAAAGGGGCCCGGAAAUCCAAGAAACAGGGAGAAGUCAGCAAGGCAGCAAGUGCAGACAGCAUGACCGAAGGCACACCCGCUGAUGGCUUCACAGUCCUCUCCACCAAGAGCCUCUUCCUCGGCCAGAAGCUGAAACUUAUUCACAGUGAAAUCAGUAAUUUAGCCGGCUUUGAGGUGGAGACCAUAAUCAAUCCUACCAAUGCUGACAUUGACCUUAAAGAUGACCUAAGGAACAUGCUGGAAAAGAAGGGUGGCAAGGAUUUUGUGGAAGCUGUUCUGGAACUCCGGAAAAAGAACGGGCCCUUGGAAGUAGCUGGAGCUGCAGUCAGUGCAGGCCAUGGUCUGCCUGCCACGUUUGUGAUCCACUGUAAUAGCCCAGUCUGGGGUGCAGACAAGUGUGAAGAACUUCUGGAAAACACGGUGAAAAACUGCCUGGCUCUGGCCGAUGAUAAGAAGCUGAAAUCCAUUGCGUUUCCAUCCAUUGGCAGUGGCAGGAACGGGUUCCAGAAGCAGACAGCGGCACAGAUGAUUCUGAAGGCCAUCUCCAGUUACUUCGUGUCCACCAUGUCCUCCUCCAUCAAAACCGUGUACUUCGUGCUUUUCAACAGUGAGAGUACAGACAUGUAGGAAAUGGCCUAGCUGGACGCCAACUAG